UCUAUGGUCCUGGAUGUCAUUGUCUAUGGUCCUGGAUGUCAUUGUCUAUGGUCCUGGAUGUUCCUAGUUCCCGUCUGCUGUUUUUCCCCAGUUCCUGUGUGUGUUUUUGCCCGUUGGCCUUUGCUUUGUUUCCUUUUUGACUAUUAAAGUCGUUUUUGCUUUUGAACUCGCAUCCCUGACACAGCAGUCCUAAACUGACCUGGAUUGUGCCUUAAUUGAACAUCCUGCAGGCAGAACACGAUGAGGAGCCUGACAGUGCUGAUCCACAGCCUGGGUCACUGCAGAGGGGCCAUGAAGGUCUUGCUGCAGGUCUUCUUCUGGACAGGAAGAAGCAAUGAAGCUACCUACAUGCAAUGUCUUUCAACUGGCUUCAUUUUUUCCAAUUGACAUACUUGAUGCACAUCUCAUGUGUUUAUUCUUAAACAAGUGUGCACUUUUAGAUAAUCACAAAUACAACACAGUAAAUAGAUAGUUGUGUGUUUAUUUUGCUCACUCACGUUAUAAUAAGGUGAAGUAUAAAAUGAUUCUGGAACAUUUUGUUUGUUUUACUAAAGAAUAAGCACAAGUUAAACACAUCAUAACACAGAACCAUGCUCUUGCCAACAACUAUUUAACACAUACUGUACAUUACACUCUUAUCAAAUCCUGCACCACACUUAAUGGCAGUUUGCAGGAGUGUUUAAAAUAUUCAUAAUCUUUAAUGUGGGCUGCUUGGAAUGUGAUGGUGUCUGUGCAGGCACUGACACUUGGGUAACAUGCACUGUGGUUAGGCAUGGUGUUCAAUGAUACCAUUUCACAGUAAUUCUGAAUGCUCGCCCAUCUUCCAAAAGCAGAUGUCUGUAAGCUUCACCGGUGAUCCGCUGAAUUAGUGAGGCUACAGUCAAAGCCUCUUCUGCAUUGUCACCAUCAGGUUGUGCAUCUUGAAAAGAAAUACAGUGUAGACCAAAAUAAAUCUCUCCAGACACUUAUAUGCUAUAGAAUUAGGGUGGAAAUCUAAAAUUUCAAUCACAAACUAUUAUUUUAGAUGAAUGUUGGACAUACCUUCAUGUUCUAAGAGGAAAUACUUGAUUACAUGAUAGUUGCAUAAUCGCAUCAAGGUAUCAAGGUGAAAACCAGACUAAUGACACAUUUAACUGGCUCAUUGACAUGAGUGCAUGUCAAACUUUCAGUUUCACCUGACUCUAUACCUGCUUUUGUUCCUGAGGUUCUUCAGCUGUGGCCCUUGAAAUGAGGGACAUCGGUCGAACCACCAAUGAGCAGUAACCACAAACUCAGUUUAUAUGUUUUUACUACUACAAACUGGAUUUUUGUUUGCAAUUUGCUCUCAAAACUGUUUUUUUGUUUGCAUAAUAAAGACACAAAUCUACUUUCAUACAGCAGGGUCGAUAGUAGUUUGAACUAGUUUGAAGAUCAAAUGACGGCAUAACCACAUUUACUGAAUAGACAAAGAGUCUAUAGCUGCUGUAUGAGUUAUGAAUUACUAUAUAAUAAAGGCCCACAGAAGGAAGAGGUCGGGCUGGUUUCAAUGGGCCAGCACAAUGUUUGCAUCGUCAAUAUUGGCUUGUUGUAACUAUGGCAACCAUUGUCCCACGAACUUAACCAAAGGACAUCAUCUUAAAUGUCGCCAUGGGUUCAGAAAACCCUGACGUGUGUCGUUCAUGAGAGUAGUUAUUAACGAUGAACUCUGUAGUUUUAAUUUUUUUAUUCAAUUUUUAAUCUAAUCACUAAGAAACCAUCUCCAUAACAGGUCAAGAGCUGUGGACAGAAGAUACAAAAACAUAGAUGGAUAGUAAAAGCGUAUGUAAUGAGUAUUUAAUG
ensembl:lncRNA